ACCCAGCAUGGAUCUGUGAUCCAGGCCAAUCAAUCAGACUCCCUGAUGGAUUUUUUUAUUUUUUUCAGUAAAUUAUGGGAUAACCUGGAGACUUGAAAUGGCACCAACUUUCCUAUCUGUGAAGAGACACUUUAGGAAGAAUAAAGCUUCAGGAGGAGAAAAGACAAAGAUUUCUACUGAAUCAGGGAUGUGAGAUCUAUCGACCAUCAGCUCAUCUGUGUGUAAGAUCCAGUUGAGGAGCAAGUUGAAAAUGAUCAGGACAUGCCAUCAAUACCCCAAGGCACCAUGCUGCCUUGGGGUACUGAUUACUUGGAGUAGAGGACACUUGAAACACAGCAACUGAAAGAAGAGCC
rnacentral:lncRNA from 1 species